GAUGAACGCUGGCGGCGUGCCUAAUACAUGCAAGUCGAGCGAACGGACGAGAAGCUUGCUUCUCUGAUGUUAGCGGCGGACGGGUGAGUAACGCGUGGAUAACCUACCUAUAAGACUGGGAUAACUUCGGGAAACCGGAGCUAAUACCGGAUAAUAUUUUGAACCGCAUGGUUCAAAAGUGAAAGACGGUCUUGCUGUCACUUAUAGAUGGAUCCGCGCUGCAUUAGCUAGUUGGUAAGGUAACGGCUUACCAAGGCAACGAUGCAUAGCCGACCUGAGAGGGUGAUCGGCCACACUGGAGCUGAGACACGGUCCAGACUCCUACGGGAGGCAGCAGUAGGGAAUCUUCCACAAUGGGCGAAAGCCUGACGGAGCAACGCCGCGUGAGUGAUGAAGGUCUUCGGAUCGUAAAACUCUGUUAUUAGGGAAGAACAUAUGUGUAAGUAACUGUGCACAUCUUGACGGUACCUAAUCAGAAAACCACGGCUAACUACGUG
rnacentral:rRNA from 1 species